GGCCCCAUCGUCUAGCCCGGUUUAGGAUGCGUGGUUCUCAGCCACGAGACACCGGUUCAAAUCCGGUUGGGGCUG
rnacentral:tRNA from 1 species